rnacentral:lncRNA from 1 species
AGAUACCUUGUAUAAAUGGAAUCAUCCAACAUUUGGUCUUCUGUAACUGGCUUAUUUCACUCAGCAUAAUGUCUUCCAGAUUCAUCCAUGUUGACCCAAAAGGAUCUGCCUUCACUAGGGAUGACCAACCAGAGAAUCCAGAAAAAAAAAUAAUAAGAGAAAGUAUCAUCCCACAAGCCAAU